rnacentral:rRNA from 1 species
AUUGAACGCUGGCGGCAUGCCUUACACAUGCAAGUCGAACGGUAACAGGUCUUCGGAUGCUGACGAGUGGCGAACGGGUGAGUAAUACAUCGGAACGUGCCCGAGAGUGGGGGAUAACGAGGCGAAAGCUUUGCUAAUACCGAAUACGAUCUCAGGAUGAAAGCAGGGGACCGCAAGGCCUUGCGCUCACGGAGCGGCCGAUGGCAGAUUAGGUAGUUGGUGGGAUAAAAGCUUUCCAAGCCGACGAUCUGUAGCUGGUCUGAGAGGACGACCAGCCACACUGGGACUGAGACACGGCCCAGACUCCUACGGGAGGCAGCAGUGGGGAAUUUUGGACAAUGGGCGCAAGCCUGAUCCAGCCAUGCCGCGUGCAGGAUGAAGGCCUUCGGGUUGUAAACUGCUUUUGUACGGAACGAAAAGACUCUGGUUAAUACCUGGGGUCCAUGACGGUACCGUAAGAAUAAGCACCGGCUAACUACGUGCCAGCAGCCGCGGUAAUAC